GCUUAACAUCCUUAUCAUUUAUCGCCCUCCAGGUUCCCUUGGAGAGUUCAUCAAUGAGCUUGACGCCUUGAUAAGUUCCUUUCCUGAGGAUGGCUCACCUCUCACAGUUCUGGACCAUUUCCGGAGACCUUCUCCCCUACCUCACCUCGCUCAUCAACGCAUCCUUGACCGCUGGCUACGUCCCUUCCGUCUUCAAGAGAGCGAGAGUUGCACCCCUUCUGAAAAAACCUACACUCGACCCCUCCGAUGUCAACAACUACAGACCUAUCUGCUGCCUUUGAUACCGUGAACCAUCAGAUCCUCCUCUCCACCCUCUCCGAGCUGGGCAUCUCUGGCACCGCGCACGCUUGGAUUGCGUCCUACCUGACAGGUCGCUCCUACCAGG
rnacentral:lncRNA from 1 species